rnacentral:rRNA from 1 species
AUUGAACGCUGGCGGCAGGCCUAACACAUGCAAGUCGAGCGAGCGGCGGACGGGUGAGUAAUGUCUGGGAAACUGCCUGAUGGAGGGGGAUAACUACUGGAAACGGUAGCUAAUACCGCAUACCAUCAGAUGUGCCCAGGUGGGAUUAGCUAGUAGGUGGGGUAACGGCUCACCUAGGCGACGAUCCCUAGCUGGUCUGAGAGGAUGCCCAUCAACAGUGGAACUGAGACACGGCCCCGACUCCUACGGGAGGCAGCAGUGGUGAAGCUUGCACAAUGGGCGCAAGCCUGAUGCAGCCAGGCCGCGUGUGGUAAGAAGGCCUUCGGGUUGUAAAGCACUUUCAGCGGGGAGGCGUUACCCGAAGAAGAAGCCCAGGCUAACUCCGUGCCAGCAGCCGCGGUAAUAC